CUUUUCACUGGUUCAAAUUUUCACAGGAUGUUCACGUUCAUGCACCCAAAGUGUUUCAUGUGAAAUUUAAGAAGACAAAAAUUGUUUCUGAUUCUUUAAAGGUCCCUGCAGUGAGCUACAGGGAAGGGUCAAUGAUAUGUUUUGAGCGAUAACACAUUGAAGGAUAGCUUGGGAAAAGACGAGACUUUCUUUAACACACAAUUCAUGGCCGCAGCUACAGGGAAGGGUCAAUGAUCAAAUGGUAAGUAUUGUUUCUGCAUUUGCUUCAAGUUCCUUAUAGGUGGGUUUUUGGAAUGCAUAAAGUUAGGUGAUCUUUUGCUUUGGACAAGACUUUAGAGCAUGGUUAUAGGUGAUACUCAUAUAGUAUCAUUAUUUAUAAUAUGUGGCUAAACAUUAGUUAGAUAUCGGAUUGCAAUUUUUGUUAGCUAGUUCUCAUAUAUCCAACGAUUUCAAGUUAUAUGCGACUGAUAUAAAGAACCAUUGGUUCAAUAGAUGCAUGAGGUUAUUAUACAUUGGUCCUUGGAGAAUGGGGACUAAACGAAU
rnacentral:misc_RNA from 1 species